GCUCCCAUAGUCUAGUGGUAAAACAGUCCUUUGGUAGGGGACAGCGGAUGGUUCGAUUCCAUCUGGGAGCACCA
rnacentral:tRNA from 1 species